rnacentral:rRNA from 1 species
AACUUUCAACAACGGAUCUCUUGGUUCUGGCAUCGAUGAAGAACGCAGCAAAAUGCGAUAAGUAAUGUGAAUUGCAGAACUCAGUGAAUCAUCGAAUCUUUGAACGCACAUUGCGCCCGCCAGUAUUCUGGCGGGCAUGCCUGUUCGAGCGUCAUUU